AUGGGAGCUAUUUGGGCCUUUGUCGUUUGUGUCCUGACUGUUUGGCUUGCCAAAGGCUCUUGUUUGCCAGUUGAUGGGACAAAUAAAAGGAAUGAUCAUGGGCUUCAGAGGAAGAUGGAAGAUUUGUCUCCCAAUGGGCUCUCAUUAAAGAAGACCGUUGCACUUCUCCAGUCGAUGGAGUCCAUUUUGGAGCAAGAUGCUAAGGAAGUACAACUGGAAACCAAUGGUGUGGAAGCUGAGUCAUCAUUUGGCCAUGUGAGACUUGUACAGACCCUGAACAGACCAAAACCACUCAAAACUGAGAAGGUCCCUGUACACACUGCCAUGGACUGCGGCACCUUCCCUGGUGCGACCAGUGGUGGCAGCAGCAACGGCAGCAGCGUGGCCGACGGCGCUGGCGGCGGCAACAACGGCAGCAGCGUGGCCGACGGCAGCAACAAUGGCGGCAACAACGGCAGCAGCGUGGCCGACGGCAGCAACAAUGGCGGCAACAACGGCAGCAGCGUGGCCGACGGCAGCAACAAUGGCGGCAACAACGGCAGCAGCGUGGCCAACGGCAGUAACAAUGGCGGCAACAACGGCAGCAGCGUGGCAGACGGCAGCAACAAUGGCGGCAACAACGGCAGCAGCGUGGCCGACGGCGCUGGCGGCGGCAACAACGGCAGCAGCGUGGCCGACGGCGCUGGCGGCGGCAACAACGGCAGCAGCGUGGCCGACGGCAGCAACAAUGGCAGCAGCGUGGCCGACGGCAGCAACAAUGGCGGCAACAACGGCAGCAGCGUGGCCGACGGCAGCAACAAUGGCGGCAACAACGGCAGCAGCGUGGCCGACGGCAGCAACAAUGGCGGCAACAACGGCAGCAGCGUGGCCGACGGCAGCAACAAUGGCGGCAACAACGGCAGCAGCGUGGCCGACGGCAGCAACAAUGGCGGCAACAACGGCAGCAACAAUGGCGGCAACAACGGCAGCAGCGUGGCCGACGGCAGCAACAAUGGCGGCAACAACGGCAGCAGCCUGGCCGACGGCGCUGGCGGCGGCAACAACGGCAGCAGCGUGGCCGAAGGCAGCAACAAUGGCGGCAGCAGCGUGGCAGACGGCGCUGGCGGCGGCAACAACGGCAGCAGCGUGGCCGACGGCAGCAACAAUGGCGGCAGCAGCGUGGCCGACGUCGCUGGCGGCGGCAACAACGGCAGCAGCGUGGCCGACGUCGCUGGCGGCGGCAACAACGGCAGCACGGCAACGGCGGCGGCACCUUCCCCGGCCACGGCAACGGCGGCGGCACCUUCCCCGGCCACGGCAACGGCGGCACCUUCCCCAGCCGCGGCAACCGUGGCAUCUUCCCCACAACUGUGGCAGCAAUCAGCCACAGCAGUAGCGUGGCCGUCACAAGUGAACCCCAGAGCUGAUCACAAACUGCUGUGACCACACUGCUAAAGUAGGGAAUAGGUUUGCGGAAUCAUGCAAGAGCUCAGUUUAAGAUAUUUCUGUAUGUCCCAAGUUUUCUACUUUAAAUAAAACUCUUAACUGAUAUGUUUCCCUAUUUCUUCUUUCCCAGAUGGGUUAAAAGACCUUACUGGGUUUUUGUGCCAAGCAAAUGAAACUUGGUUUUGUUUGCAAACAUUGAGACCUUAUGGCCAGAGUUGUCAGGUAAAGUGUUGCCAAGGUAAUGCUUUGAUACGUUUGUGGCCUUUUCCUGGUCAGUUUCUGGAGAGCAGUUUGCAGCAGUGAUGUCAGGCGUACAAACAAUGGCAAUAUUUCCACCAUGAAAAAGCAUGAAGCCAGAAGCCAAA
ensembl:lncRNA